rnacentral:rRNA from 1 species
UACAGAGGUCCCAAGCGUUGUUCGGAUUCACUGGGCGUAAAGGGUGCGUAGGUGGCUUGGUAAGUUUGAUGUGAAAUCUCCGGGCUUAACCCGGAAAUGGCAUUGAAUACUAUUGAGCUGGAGGUUUGGAGGGGGGACUGGAAUUCUCGGUGUAGCAGUGAAAUGCGUAGAUAUCGAGAGGAACACCAGUGGCGAAGGCGAGUCCCUGGACAACACCUGACACUGAGACACGAAGGCCAGGGAGCAAACGGG